ACUCUUUCCUUUGAUUGGGUUUCUUUUUUUUAAACCAAACUCACGCUGUAUCCGCGGCUGGCGACGAUCUUAUCUUGCAGAUAUCUGCCUGCCUUUGUUGUAAUUAAAGGCAUGAACCACCACGCGUGGCUUUUCCUUAAGCAAUUGUUUUUGCUGGUUUUAGUUGCUUUUAGAGCCCGCGUGAACAAAGCGCUUCCCAGACGUGAUUCUGUGUAACGUGGGUAACUGGGGCAGGGACGUUAGUUAAGUUUAGGGGUCUUCAGGACCUCGGAAACAGCAGGACUUUGUGAAGGACAAAAUGGUGGCGGCGGUGCAGGGCCAUCCCCGAUGAUGAUUUCCUUUUCACAGACCUGUACUGAUUUCCAUGAGGAUAAGUAAUUCUGAGGAGGCUGGCCCGGUACCUAAAGCCUUCUGCCCCCACCCAGAUUUCUCUUAAACGGAGGCGUAGAAAUAACCAAAUGCUAAUUCGUUCCAGAUUUGGGAUGAUUGUAUACGGAAACAUGGAAGUGUGCGUCCUUUUUAAGAAUAUGGUUAAUGAAAGCGGAGUUUACAAUUUGGAACAAGGCUAGAUUGACCUUACAAGUAGGACGUUUUGUUGGCAGUUCAGCAUCCUGUAACGAUAUUCUGAGGAAUGCAGACGACCUCCCAGGAUGAAUACAGGUUGUCCUGAUGGCUUGUCUAAAGGAGAAGAUAAUUCCUGUAUGCCAUCAAUCGCCAGCAUUCAGAGGUUCUGUUGGCAGUAGCGGUCCUUGCUGGUUCAGAGAUCUGGUGUCUGGCCUAGAGCUGAGGAACCAACUUUGCCAGGGAAGUUGGGCGCAUCAUCACACGGCUGGGAUAAGGUCUGAAGAAUGAAGAACCUGUGAAUGGUAGGAAUGCAGAUCUCCAAGAACAAAGAUCUCUGUUCCCUCAAUAAUUUGUAGUUGUGUAUCAUCAUUCACUUAAUAAAAUUGUUUGCCAUUUGU